rnacentral:lncRNA from 1 species
GGUCGCUGCUGGCGGUGGAGAUGGCCUUCAACCCUAUUGGUGGCGGCUAGGUUUCAUCUUCUUCUCCUCCGCUUCGAAUGCCAGAUCGGGCAACGCUGCUGGAGGUGGGUUUGUGGGCGUCGUAUGUCUCAGCUUCUUCCUUGCUGGUUGCGGAGCGGCGGUGCUGUUGUCCGUGGCUGUGAGAAGAGAGGGACGGUGGGCGAAGGAGAAGGGGAGCUGU